rnacentral:lncRNA from 1 species
UUUUGUUUUGUUUUCUUUUUCAUGUUUAUUUAGUAACUAGAAAACUGGACAGAAGCCGGUAAAACAUCAAGUAAGACAAUUUUUUAUAGUUUUUAUAGAGUGAAAAACAAUCUAGAACUUUGGUAGUACUUUGGUUUAAAUAUAUCCUUCAAAGGUUCAUGUGUGGAGAUACCUAUACUUUGAGCAAUCAGGAGACUGAUGCCGGAGGAUUGUUCCAAGACUGAGGCUAGCCUAGACUAAAUAGAGAGUACUAGGUCAGCUGAGAUUAUAUAUCAUAAGAAAGUCUUAAAACAAAACAACAAAAGGCUUGUAUCUUAGCUCAGUGGCAGAGAGCUUGCCUUGCAUAUGUGCAUUCUGAAUUCAUUUCUCAGCAUCCCCAGAUUAAAAAGAAGUUAAUAAGCUGGUGAAGUUUGGUCCUGGUCCUACUUCCUAUUCCCAUGCUACCAAAAACAAGACUCAGAUUCAAAAUAUAUUUACAAAUACUUUGGCCAUAUAGCUAGGCUCUUCUCUGGCUAGAAUCAUAACGAGAA